AUUGAACGCUGGCGGCAGGCCUAACACAUGCAAGUCGAGCGGAUGAGUGGAGCUUGCUCCAUGAUUCAGCGGCGGACGGGUGAGUAAUGCCUAGGAAUCUGCCUGGUAGUGGGGGGACAACGUUUCGAAAGGAACGCUAAUACCGCAUACGUCCUACGGGAGAAAGCAGGGGACCUUCGGGCCUUGCGCUAUCAGAUGAGCCUAGGUCGGAUUAGCUAGUAGGUGAGGUAAUGGCUCACCUAGGCGACGAUCCGUAACUGGUCUGAGAGGAUGAUCAGUCACACUGGAACUGAGACACGGUCCAGACUCCUACGGGAGGCAGCAGUGGGGAAAUAUUGGGACAAUGGGCGAAAGACCUGAUCCAGCCAUGCCGCGUGUGUGAAGAAGGUACGUUCGG
rnacentral:rRNA from 1 species